GAGACAGAGAGAGAGAGAGAGAGAGAGAGGCAGAGACACAGGCAGGGGGAGAAGCAGGCUCCAUGCACCAGGAGCCCGACGUGGGAUUCGAUCCCGGGACCCCAGGAUCAUGACCUGGGCCAAAGGCAGACGCUCAACCGCUGAGCCACCCAGGAGCCCCAUACAGCCACUUUCUUGAUGAGGAGACAGAGGCACAGGAAGGUAGAUAGCCUGCUCCGGGUCAGGAAUUCACUCCUGCGUAGGCUGGCACACAAACCCAGGCAGGCUGCGCCUGGCUAUUUCCGAGUGGGGCUGUGGACGGAGGGGGAACCCUUCAGCGCUGAGCUCUGUGGCCCCUAGAGUUAGCACAUCCACGAAGGCCACUUUGUCACCAACCCAGGCAAAGGAGACAGAGAGGAAGAGAAAUGAUCAUUACAGAAAUCUUCGGAGCCGGAUAGUUAUCGCACCACCCUGCGGAUUAUAUAAGACGACAACUGUGACAACUGCUCGGACACCCGGCCGAGUGCCUGGCUCGCAGCGCAGGACAAGAAAAGACAACGAAUAGGAUUAGUUUCUUGAUAUUGUGAUUAUGGACGAGCUCAGAGCUUUCCCCUAAGCCACUCUGUUUUAUCUCUUAGUCCCUUUAUGUUGUCACAAGGUGGGCCAGGCUGGUGGCCCUGGGCUUCCUGCCGGUAGAGCCAUAUCCGUGAUCACAUCACUCAAAGGGGGAAUGUCCCUGUCAGCCGAUGACAGGAUGAUUGGGGUGGGGUCCAGCCAAGCCCUAAGAGAUGAUUCAGCCAUAAAAAGGAAUGAGAGUCCAGUGGGCGUAGCUGGAAAUCCCAUGCCUCUUGACCACAGUGCAAGCAGGAAAUGUAAUACUGAUAUCAUCCUCAGUCGUCUUGCAAAUUUUUCCAGUUGUUCCAAUAAGGGUGUCUUCCACAGAUCUGCAGAACAUGUGACUUGUGUUUCAAAGCAAGAAAAACCCCAUUUGUGAUAGUCAUUAGGGAUGUUCUCAAACAUUCCAGCUCUCCUUCUGGGCACAUGGUAGGGUUACACACCCCCACCUACCUGAAGUUUGGCAGGACCAUGUGACUUGCCUUACCCAAUGAAACAUGAGAAGGACUACAUUGCACUUCAGCAUGGAAAUUUUAAGAACCAGGACACACUCCACCAUAUUGUAAAUUUUCCCUUGGCCAAGGCAACUAGAUGGUGGCUGCUUCACCAGCCUGGAUUCCAGAAUGAAGACAAUGUAAACUAUGUGGAGUAGCACUCCCAGCUGACCCAUGCUGGACAUGGUAAAUGGGUGAGAAAUAAACCUUUGUUGUUUCAAGCUUUGAGAAUGCGA
rnacentral:lncRNA from 1 species